UACAGAGGGGGCAAGCGUUAUUCGGAAUUAUUGGGCGUAAAGGGCGCGUAGGCGGCCAUUCAAGUGACGGGUGAAAGCCCUCGGCUUAACCGAGGAACUGCCUGUCAGACUGGAUGGCUUGAGACCGGGAGAGGUGAGUGGAAUUCCCAGUGUAGCGGUGAAAUGCGUAGAUAUUGGGAGGAACACCAGUGGCGAAGGCGGCUCACUGGACCGGUACUGACGCUGAGGCACGAAAGCGUGGGGAGCAAACAGG
rnacentral:rRNA from 1 species